rnacentral:lncRNA from 1 species
GACCUGCUUCCUCUUUUCCUACAACAACCACUCUCUUAAUCAGAGGGUCCUGUAUUAUACAACAAUUAGAGCAAAAGUUCAGACUUAAAGGUGAGGUAUAGAUCAAUUUACUCACUGAGAUAAUAUUGUAAUGAAAAUUUGGUAUAAAUAGAACAUUGUCAACUUGUAUGCAAUCAGAUAUAGUAAUUGAUCCUCUAUGGGUUAUCUUACGGGCAGUGCCACCAGGGAGAUUAACAUAAACAGUUUUAUUAAGUAUAAACAGUUUUAUCAAGUACUUGCAGUGAUUUAACAUAGAUUUAUUAGAAGACAUAUGGUCUGUGGCUCUAGUUUCUAAUAUCCAAUCAGUAUUAUUGCAAAUUGAUACACAACAAACAAAUUUUAGAUUAGAAGUACCUGUAAAAUCCAUGAGACUUGAAUCAAAAGUAGUCCCACCACAGUAAUCUGAAGCUUUCGUGUUAGUUGUAAGAAUUGUCUUUCCCUUGCUCAGCUUUGUAACCUCUUAUUGACUUGAAUUGAGCAUUGCACUCAGUCCAACAAUCUUCAUUGUGGCAUCAGAUAUCUCGAAAGGAUUGUCCCCUUCAUAAUAAGGUCCUUCUACAGCUGCCACUACCUUAUCUAUAUUCCUUGUGUUUCUAUCUUGUCUAGAAGACUGUCCUCCAAUCUUGUUCUUGGGCUUAUACCACUUAGGAUAGCCUAUUAGUUUGAAGCAACCCUCUCUGACAUGACCAUUCAUGUAAUACCCGGCUAGACUCCGGUAUCGGAAUUCCUACCGUCCGGUGGAAUUUCGGGUGUCGGAGACCUCUAGAAGGGUAAAAUCGUGUUUUUAUAAAAUGUUUUAAUGUAUUUUAUGGUUUUAAUCAAGUAAGAAAUGAGUUUUUGCAUGAAAAAUAAUCUUGGAGGAAGACCCAGGUUUGGCCGCCGAACCUCAAGUUCGGCCGCCGAACAUGCAUGCACUUCGGGAGUGCUUUAGGCCCCCGAAAGCAUAAGUGAGAGAAGUUCAGGUUCGGCCGCCGAACCUUAUGUUCGGCCACCGAACAUGGCAUGCAUGCGAAGGCACGUUCGGCUCCCGAAUGUGGCCUGGCCAGCCACCUAUAAAGGGGUCCCUUAGCCGAAAACGGGCGAACUUUUCUCCCCAUUUUGGGCCAAGGUGAGCUCUCCGCCGUCCCUCACCGAUCUUGAGUUUCUUCCUUCAAAUCUUUCACGAUUUUCACAAGUUUUUACUUUGUUUUGAAGAUUUUCGAGUAUAAAGCAAGUUUUGGAGCUUUGAGGUUCAAGAAACUCAAUCUCUCCCAUCUCCAAGCUAGGGUCGUUUUUGGAAUAAACUUUAAGAUUUAAAACAAAUUAAUGAAAUGUUUUAGCAUGAUUCACGCAUCAUGAAUGCCAUGAGAUAUAUUAGGUUGUUUGCAUUAGAAUUCACGAAUAUGUUGCAUUGAUGUGGAUGAAUGUUGAAUGAUCCAUUAGCCCUUGGAUGUCAUGAUAGCCUAUGUGAGUCCAGGUGUGCCUGCUACGGCUCUACGCCCCUGGCAUUAUGACAGAUUAUGGAAGUCCGGGUGUGCCUGCUACGGCUCUACGCCCCCGGUAUGUAUAAGUAAGAAAGAUAGGGGCUAAAUGGUGACAAGUUCAUCCUUGUUGUGAAAUGUUUGUGUUAUGGCGCAUACAUGAAAGCAUGAUUUAAAUUGAUGUUUUAUUAUUCUGCUCACUGGGCUCUAGUAGCUCACCCCACUCCCUUUAUCCCCAGAGUUGCAGGUACAGGAUAGAUCAGGAAGUCGGCUAGAGUGAAGUUAAGUCAUGUAUGUUGUAAUAGAUAGUAGUGGACAUGAACAUGAUGUAAUGAGUACUUAUGACCAUGUAAUGUAAUGAAUGAUUUGAUGAUGUAUUGAGGAUUAUAGUAGUGCUUGACCUAGAGGUGUGUGAAUCCCCAUUAUGUACAGAAUGUUUAAUGAGUAGUGAUGUUAAUGACCAUGAUUAUCCAAGCUGAUAUGUAUGAUGAUGAUACCCCAUUGGAGUAUUUGAUGAGGACUUCAGUGUGGGGUUCAUAUGUGAUUUUGUGCAUGCACAGGUUUUGCUUGGAUAAGAGAAAAGAAAAUUUUUUUACAGAUCAUGUAUAUGUUGUUAUGUAUGGGAUUCCAUAGGUUUUCAGGAGGUAUGUAGGCUUGCUACGGGUCCCGGCAGCCUUAAGCCGAUCUGGAUCCUAGCGCCGGUAACGGGUCGGAUUUCCGGGUCGUUACAGUUUUCCUCUCGAUCUUCAAGAGGUAAGGGCCGAUCUUGAGCUCACUAUAUGUUUUAAACAAGUUUUAAGUUGUUUCAUGAAGUAGAAAUGCAUGUUUAGGUUGUUUUGAGUUUAUGGGUUUAAUGUGUGUUCUUGAGCAAUGUGGGUAUGUUUGAUGUGUUGUAGUUGGGGUUUAGGCUAGUUUGAGACCCCUAUGAACUUGUAUGCUUGAUUGUGUAUGAUUGGGAGUGUUGUAGAAUAGGUUUAUGCAUAUUUGAAAGGUUUGGGAGGCGUUUGUGCAUGUUGGAGCUGAGUUUCUGCCACUUUGGAGAAACUCAGGUUCGGCCGCCGAAGGAACUUUCGGCCGCUGAACCCGCUUGUGGAGGCAGCCUUCGGCUGCCGAAGCCUGCCCCCGAAAGAGGACUUUCGUCUCUGGAGGGCAGUUUCGGCCGCCGAAAGUGCCGCCGAACAUGCAUGAGUUUCGUCUCUGUCUGGGAGUUUCGGCCGCCGAAGGUGCCGCCGAACCUGCCUGACUUUCGGCUCUGGGGGGACUUUCGGCCGCUGAAAGUGCCCUGUUCAGCCUUCCUUUACAUGUUUUGCAUGAUUGUUUUGAGGUGUUUUAGGGAGUUUUUGGGGUAUGUUUUUAGAGUCAUGUUCUAGUUGUUCGGUCCCUCAUUUGAGUCCACCUGUGUAGGUUCGGACCCGAGGAACCGAGGACCCCAGCAGUGAGUCAGCUGCUUCAGUCGUUGUCAGAACUAGCCAAGAGGUGAGUAGAACUAAACUUAAUCUUUAUUUUAUGAAAUCAAAUGCCUAAAGCAUGUUCAUGCAUCAUGAUGAUAUGUAGUAGGUUGCUUGCACUAGUUUCACGAAUAUGACGCAUUGCAUAAUUUGAUGACUAUGAUGAUGUGGAUGGACCAAGGCGACCCCAAUAGUCCUAGAGCUGUUGUAAGACCUGGCCGGGCCGGGCAUACAGAUGAUGUAAGACCUGGUCGGGCCAGGCAUCCAGAUGUUGUAAGACCUGGCCGGGCCAGGCAUACAGAUGUUGUAAGACCUGGCCGGGCCAGGCAUACCGACCCUGGAGGAAUUUUUGGUGGUCAUGUCCAUCCUUGAUGUGAAAUGUUUGUGCUGUGUUGCAUUCCAUCAAAGUAUGAAAUUUUAAUAUGUGAUUUAAAUGUAUUACUGUUUUGCUCACUGGGCUCUAGUAGCUCACCCCUCUCCCUAAUUCUCCAGGUUUGCAGGUACGGGCUAGGCAGAGAAGUCAAGAUGAUUGAAGUCAUGUGUAUGUAAUAGUUAGAAUGUGGACAUGAUAAAUUGUAAAAUGAUGUAAAGUUAUGAAUAGUUUUGUCAUGUAAAUGUUGAUUUUGAGAUUGAGGUUUAGAAAUUGUGCUUGACCGAGAUUGUAUAGUAAUCCCUUUUGUAAACAUGAUCUAUGUUUUAUGAUGUUUAUAUUCCACCAAGCUUGUGUAUGAUGAGAUCCCCCAUUGGAGCAUUUGACUAGAGCUCCAGUGUGAGGUUUAUGUUUAUGUUUAUGUAUAUGUUUAUGGGCAUGCACAGGUUGAGCUUGGUAAAAGAAAAGAAAAGUUUAAAUUUUUAUGUAUGUUGUUGAUCAUGUAUGUGAUUAAACAGGCUUUCAAGUUAUAUGUCAGGCUUGCUACGGGUCCCGGCGGCCUUAAGCUGAUCUGGAUCCUAGCGCCGGUAGCGGUCCGAAUUUCAGGUCGUUACAAUUCAUGUCACAAUAAGAGCAAUAUCCUUUCCUGGACUCAACCUUCCUUUGUUUCCCUUCAAAUUGUCCCUGUGUUUUAUUAAGACUAGAGAAUCCAUAUUGUUGCUUAUGUUUCCUAAUAGUUCCUUUUGUGACUCAAAUUUGAGUACCAUGAAAUAUGCCUUAGUCACAGAAGGCAAAGGGUCCAUUCCAAGAAUUUGAUCCCUUACAGGACUGUAAGCAUCAUUAAGACCCAUGAGAAAUUGCAUAAAUUUGUUUCUACUAUUAAUCUCAUAUAUGGCCUUUGAAGUACUAUAGGUAUAGGGAGGCAAGGUCUCCAUAGACCCCAACUCAUUCUAUAGCCUUUUGAGUCUUGUGAAAUAGACUGAUAUAAAGAUGUUUUCUUGCACAAUUUUCCUAUGUAAUUGAUAUAUCGUUGGGCCAUUACAUUCCCCGAACCUUUCAGUGAUUUUGAGCCAGAGGUCAUGAGCCGAAACUAUGUGGAUGAAGCCAUCUACAAUGUCUUUGGAUAUCGAGUUCAGUAUCCAAAAUGUGACUAUAAAAUUACAUUUUCUCCACAGCUCAAACUGUUUGAAGUUCCUAUCUGGCAUAGUUAUAGUGCCUUUUAUAAACCUGAUCAAGCCAAAUUUAGACCCAUUUUUCAUGUUGUUAUUAAUGUUAAUUUACACAUUUUCUAUCUAAUUUUGUGGUUUUGAUAUUAUUUUUCAGAAAAUAGUGUAAAAGGGUAAUUUGGCAAAAAUGACCUUAAAACUGCCCAAAGGAGAACAAAUGAGAUCAAGUCUAGUUUGCCCAAGACCGUUUGCCCAAACAAAAUUGAAGUAGAGACGCAGGAAAUUCAAAUUUCAAACUUUUGAAGAAGUCUUUCCCUCCCCAAACAUGUGAAGACAACUCAAAUGUAAUACCCGGCUAGACUCCGGUAUCGGAAUUCCUACCGUCCGGUGGAAUCUCGGAUGUUGGAAAUCUCUAGAAGGGUAAAACCAUGUUUUCAUAAGAUGUUUUAAUGUAUUUUAUGGUUUUAAGCAAGAAAGGAAGUGAGUUUUGCAUGAAAAUAACCUUGGAGGAAGACCCAGGUUCGGCCGCCGAACCUUAAGUUCGGCUGCCGAACAUGCAUUCAUUUCGGGAGUGCUUUAGGCCCCCGAAGGCAUGAGUGAGGGAAGUCCAGAUUCGGCCGUCGAACCUUAUGUUCGGCCGCCGAACAUGGCAUGCAUGCGGAGGCACGUUAGGCCCCCGAAAGUGGCCUAGCCAGCCACCUAUAAAGGGGUCCCCAUGUCCGAACGGGUGAGCUUUUCUCCCCGUUUUCGGCCAAGGUGAGUUCUCCGCUGUCCCUCAUCGAUUUUGAGCUUCUUCCUUCGAAUCUUCAUGAUUUUCUUAUGAGUUUUUACUUGGUUUGAAGUUAUUUGAGCAAAAGAGCAAGUUUGGAAGUUUGGAGACCAAAGAGUUGAUUUCUCCCCAUCUCCAAGCUAGAAUCGUCUUUCCUCUCGAUCUUCAAGAGAUAAGCUUAGAUCCAACCUUCCUUGUAUGUUUUAAACAAGUUUUAUGAAGAUCUAUGGGGUAGAAGUGCAUGUUUAGGUCAUUGUUGAGUUUAUGGGUUUAUGUUAUGCUUAUGAGCAAUGUGGGUUGUUUGAUGUGUUUUGGUUGGGGUUUAAGUUAGUUUGAGACCCCUAUGUGCUUGUUGGCUUGAGUUUGCUUGUUGUAGACUAGGUAAAUGCAUGAUGGAUUAGAUUGGGAGGCAUUUGUGCAUGAAAGAGGCUGAGUUCUGCCCUUUGGAAGAACUCAGGUUCGGCAGCCGAAGGAACUUUCGGCCGCCGAACCUACCUGUGGAGGCCAACUUUUGGCUGCCGAACCCUGCCCCCGAAAGUGGACUUUCGGCUCUGGAAGGGAGUUUGGCCGCCAAAGGUGCCGCCGAAUAUGCAUGAGUUUCGUCUCUGAAGGGAACCUUUGGCCGCCGAAAGUGCCACCGAAGGUGCAUGACUUUCAACUCUGGAGGGACUUUCGGCUGCCGAAUCUGCCGCCGAAAGUGCCCUGUUCAGCCUUCCUUUGCAUGAUUUAUGUGAUUGUUUUAAGGUGUUUUAGGGGGUUUUCAGGGAGUAUUUUAGAGUCAUGUUCAUGGAUGUUUGGUCCCUCAUUUGAGUCCACCUGUGUAGGUUCGGACCCGAGAAACCGAGGACCUCAACAGUGAGAUAGCUGCUUUAGAGUCAUUAGAGCUUCAGGCAAAGGUGAGUGGAAUAACUCUUUACGUUUCAAAGCAAAUAAAUAGAUUUUGAGCAUGAUACAUGCAUCACGUAUACCAUGAGAUCUACUAGGUUGUUUGCAUUAGAAUUCAUGAAUAUGUUGCAUUGCAUAACUUGAUGAUGAUGUGGAUGGAUAUUGAAUGAUCCUUUAGUCCUCGUAUGUUAUGGUAUGAUGAUGAUACGGUAUGGAAGACCAGUGAGGCCCAUUCUACGCCCCUGGCACUAUGGAAUGUUAUGCUAUGUUAUGUUAUGUUAAGAGAAAGACCAGCGAGGCCCAUUCUACGCCCCUGGCAUGAUUGGACUAUGUAGAGGACUAUUGGUGACAAGUCCAUCCUUGAUGUGAUUUGUUUGUGAUGUGUUGCAUUUCAUGAAAGCAUGAAAUUUAAAUUGAAUGUUUAUUCUACUCACUGGGCUUUAUAGAUCACCCCUCUCCCUUAACCCCCAGGUUUGUAGGUAUAGGGUAGACCAGGAGGUCAGCAGGAGUAGAGUCAUGUUUUAUGUAUUGGAUAGAUGUGGACAUGAUUAUGAUGUAAUGUAAAAGUAUUGUAUAGAAAUGUAAUGUAUUGAAGCUUAUGGAAGUUUAGAGUUGUGCUUGACCAUAGUAUGUUGUUAAUCCCUUUCUAGUACAUGAUCUUAAAUGUUUAAUGAUGAUUAUUGUAAACCAAGCUGAAUGUAUGUUAUGAUACCCUAUUGGAGUAUUUGAUUAGGACUCCAGUGAGAGGUUUUAUGUUAUGAUUUGUGCAUGCACAGGUUAAGCUUGGUGAAGGAAUGAAUGAAUGAAUGAACAAAUGAGAAAGUUUUAAAUUUUUAUGUAAUUGUUGAUCAUGUAUGGGAUUAAGCAGGUAUACAGGAUGUAAGUUAGGCUUGCUACGGGUCCCGGCGGUCUUAAGCCGACCUGGAUCCUAGCGCCGGUAGCGGUCCGAUUUUCGGGUCGUUACAUCAGCACUCUAUCCCACCUAUUUAGGAAGCCAAAUCUUAAUAAGAUUCAAUUGCCUUCAAGAAAAUCCAACUCUAAAUAGGAAAAGAACCCCAUCCAAAUCAAGAAACUUAGGGCAACCUAUUCAGCUAUAAAAAGAGGAUCGAACCAGCAACAAAUGAGCUUCAAUUUUUGGGGAGACUGCACCUGCAGCCGCGCGCCACACCAGCCGGCCGAUCGGCUCCUUCCUCUCCUUCUUUCUGGUUUUCUUUCUUUUAUUUUUAUGUUAGUUUCAGUCAUGAGUGGCUGAAACCCCUUUUUCUAGUUGAAGAUUAGGUGAAACUUCAGUUUGUUUAUAGAUUGUAAGAUCUGAACACAUGUUGUUUAUCUUUUAUUUAUCAAUAUUUAUGCAAUUUCAUGCUUAAUUCUACUGUUGCUUUGUAGUUUAGAUCAAUAAGGCCCAUUGAUUCUUGAUAGCAAAGUAAUAAUUUAUUAGUUUAAGUAGUUUAAGUCCGUAAUUGCUUGAAUUAUUCAAAUACAAGUAACUCUUGGUGUAAAAACCAAGGAGAUUGCAUAAUCUAGCAAAAUCACUAUACGUUUGGGUAGCUAGAAUUAUGUCUCUCUAUUUCUUAAUGCAAUUGACAGUUGUAUGAUGCUAAAAGCUCCAAGGAUGUUCCUUGACAAUUUGUUGAUUAGUGAUUAAUUAGAAAACGUUUCCUAAUUAAUCUGUGCUUAAAGAGGGAUAUGGAGGUGAGAAGCGUCUUCCACCUCCAUAACUAAUUUAUUGAGUCAAAUAAAAGAAUCUAAGUGUCAAUGAUCAAUCUCAACAACUGAAGUGGAUCCAAUUCUUCAACUAUACUUUUCUCAUUAUUGAAUUCUCUUUACUUUAUUAUUUACUUUACUUUAUUGCUUUUAAUUCUAGUUUAGCUCAACAACCUCAAAACCCCAUUUUACUUUAUUUUUAGUUUAUUUACUUGGUCUUGAUAAGAAAAAUAAAUGAGUAUCAAUUUCCUGUGAAUUCGAUCAUUUUACCACUAUUUACAAUUAUAAAAUUGUGGAUAACCAAAAAGGUUAUUUUUUACACAACCGCACAGUCAAUAAACUCUAACUUCUCAUUGGCUCCUAAAGCUAUUUUGAUAGCCUUAUGCCAAGUUCUGAAGUUGGUCCCUAUCAGAGAAGCAAAAACAAAAACCAUACCUGGAUGAUUUAAUGAUUGUAAAGUGAGCGGAUCUCCAAGGGUCUGCACCAUCAUUUUCGAUUUAUCGGACAUCAAAUCUCUUUUCUCUUUGCUCUCUUCACCGUCUUCUUGCAUUUUCUCAAGUAUCGACUAGUAUGCACCACAGAUCUGAAGAGAAUAAGAGAUUCAAAAAGCGCAACUAUUACUGAAACCCUAGCUGUGGCUUUGAUAUCAUGUAAGGAAGCAUCGAGAGAAAGAGGGAGAAAAAAUAGAUUUUAUUGUUUCAAGUAAAAAAUGAAAACAUAUAUCCUGUACAACAGUCAGAAGUUCUUCUUAGAGGGCUGAGCACAAUAUCAAAAAAGUCCCUAUAAUAUUACAUGCAAAUCAAUUAAGGACAAUAAGGAAAAAAAUAAAAAAAAUACAAAAUAAAAUGCAGAAAUACUUCUUCACAAUAUUUUGUCUUAAAUAUAUGUAAUAUUAUAAAAAAUGAUAAAUAUACUCUAUAAUUUUCGUAACAUGAAAUGAUAAGGGACUAAAAUUAAAGUAUGAAGAAUAGUUGGAAUUUCAAGAGGAAAAAAGAAUAAUGGAGGGCCCACUUAUUUUCACGAUAUUUAAAAUGAAAAAAAUUAUUAAUCUUAUAAAAUAUUUAGAUUUUAUUUGAUUGAAAGUAAUUUAAUUAGAAAAAUUUAAAUUUAAAGGAAGUGUUAAAUUUAUAUAUGUUUAUUUAGAUUUUUAUUUAAAGUUGAAGGCAUUUUUUUAAUAGAGAAAAAAUAAAUUAAUUUCCUUAAUGUUAAAUUAUUUUUUAAAAAAUAAGUUAUUUGAAUUAAAUUAUAUAUUUAAUAUUUUAUUUUAAUCACUUUCAAAUUGGAAAAUAUCUUUAGUUUCUUUCCACAGCGUCCCACAGUAGGCUGGAUUCCCAGAUUAUGCUAGUAACCACUCAUCCAAGCUUUGCUAUCACAAGUACAAUUUGUCUUUUUUGGCAAGUCACCUCUUUCAACUCAUAAAAUUUUUACUAAAAGGGUAAUUAAGAUUCGAUCAAAUAAAAUAAUUUAUUUGACCCUUUAAAUUAAUAUAUAAUAAUUAUUUAAAUUCAUAAAUUUUUUAAAAAUAGUCACUUAAUUUUAUAAAUAUUAAUACCAUCAAUUCUCAAUUAAUAAAUUAAAAAAAAAUUAAACAUUUAAAUCUUUAAAAAAUAGUUCAAUAUCCACUGAAAUUCUUAUUGAAUAAAUAAAUUUAAUAAAAAUUAAUUUUAUAAGAAAAUAAUUAAUAUUUUCUUAAUAAAACUUAACUAUAAAACUAUGAAAAUAUAAUAAUUACUAAAAAUAAUUCAAAAUUAAUAAAAAUUAUAAGAUAUUUUCUUAAUUAAUUUACAACAUUAUUUAAAUUUCAUAUCUAUAUAAAAUAAUUAUAUUUAAAAUUUUAAUAUAUUUUAUUAUUUUUUAAUUUUUAUUACAUAUAUCAUAUCAUAAUAAUUAUAUUUUUUUAAAGACAUGUUAAAUGCUAUAAGUUUGGUUUUUAAUUAAUAAUAAAAUAAAAAAAUAUAAAUCGUUUAUAAUUUUCAUUGAUAUAAAGCAUUUUUUAAUUUACUGUUUGUUAUAAAUCUUAAUUUUAAUUUGUCUAAAACUUUUGAAUAACACUUUAUUUAUUUUAUGAAUUUUAUAAAAUUAUUUUAUUUAUUUAUAAAAAUAUAAAUUAAUAUAAAUUAUUUAUAAAAUAAAUUAUUAAAAUAUAAUAUUAAUAUUAUUUAUUUAAGAGUUUAAAUGACUAAUGAUAUUUAUUAAGGAUUUUAUUAUCACUCUAGAUACAAGAAUCUCAGAUGGGAAAUUAAAACUAGAGUCUCCAGAAUUUUCAAAGAAGAACAAAAAUCAAUAAAUCAAAGCAAAAGCUAAACUUUAUCCAUGCAAGCGGAAUCGGAGAAAAUAGUAAUUGUAGCUGUGAAAAGCUUUAUUAGCAUCUCAAUGAUAGCGAUUAAAUCAUGUCUUAUAUAUUUUCGAAACGGCAAAAUAACAGCAUCUCAUUACCCAUUUCACAUGAUUUCGUAGAAUAGAUGGAGCACUAUUAUAUAAUUUUUAUUCACUUUCUCCAUUAUAUAAUUUUAAUUUUUAUUCACUUCACUUUUAUAUAUAUAAUAAAAAAUCUAAUUUUUUAAUUAUAUUAAAUUUUAUUAAAUAUUAAAAAAAUAUUUUAAAAAUUUCUUAAAAAUAAAAUAAAAUUAUUUUGAGACAAUAAUAAAAAAUAAAUAAAUAAAAAUUAUAGAAAGGCGAAAUAAUAAAUAAUUAAUCAACAUGUAUCCUAUUAAUACAAUAUAAAUAGAAGAUGAGGAAAAAAACUAACCCAUCUCUCCCAGCUGGCUCUUCUUUUUUCUCUCUUCUCUUUAUCAUUCUUCCAUUGCCAUGCCUUCCCAAACCCAACAGCUUCACUUUGUGUUGUUUCCUCUUAUGGCCCAAGGCCAUAUGAUUCCCAUGAUAGACAUCGCAAGACUAUUAGCACAGCAUGGCGUGAUGAUCAGUAUAGUCACCACACCUCUCAAUGCUGCUAGAUUUAAAACAGUUCUUGCUCGUGCUGUAAAAUCUGGACUCAAAAUCCAGGUUUUUGAGCUCCAGUUUCCGUUCGAAAUUGCAGGCUUACCGGAAGGGUGUGAGAAUUUUGACAUGCUGCCUUCACUGGAAAUGGGCAAACAUAUGUUCACAGCUAUUAUCGAGCUUGAAAAGCAAGCAGAUAAAUUGCAUGAAGAGCUGAUCCCUCAGCCAAGCUGUAUAAUCUCCGAUAUGUGUGUUACAUGGACUACUAGAAUUGCUAGCAAAUGGAAAGUUCCAAGGAUCUCUUUCAUUGGUUAUAGCUGCUUUUGUAUGUUGUGCGGGCACAACAUGCGUGUUUCCAAGGUUCUAGAGAACAUAACCUCAGAAUCAGAAUAUUUCACUGUUCCAGGCUUGCCUGAUAAUAUCAAAUUUACUAAAGCACAGAUACCCUUCCUUGUGAAUUUGGAUGAACUCGCCAAUCGAAUUCUUGCAGCUGAAAAGGACAGCUAUGGUUUAAUUAUAAACACUUUUGAAGAGUUGGAGGCACCAUUCCUCCAACAAUACAAGAAAGCAGGGCAAUAUAAUAGAAUUUGGUGUGUUGGUCCCGUUUCGCAGUGCAACAAAGACACCUUGGACAAAGCUGAACGAGGUAAUGAGACAUGUAUCAAAGGACAUGAAUGUUUAAGGUGGCUCGACUCCUGGCAACCAGGAUCUGUAGUUUAUGCCUGUCUUGGAAGUCUUCCCAAUAUACCAACUUCACAAUUUACAGAGCUGGGCUUGGGCUUAGAGGCAUCCAACAGACCAUUUAUUUGGGUUGUAAGGGGAGGAGAAAGAUCAAAAGAAAUAGAGAAGUGGAUUUCAGAGACGGGAUUUGAAGAGAGAACCAAAGGAAGAGGUCUUGUGAUGUGCGGUUGGGCACCACAGGUGAUGAUACUGUCACACCCUGCAAUCGGAGGUUUCUUAACACAUUGUGGUUGGAAUUCAACACUAGAAGCAAUAAGUAGUGGCGUGCCUGUAAUCACAUGGCCACUCUUUGCAGACCAAUUUUGUAAUGAGAAGUUAGCAGUGCAGGUACUGAAGAUAGGCGUCAGAGUUGGAGUGGAGGUUCCUGAGAGGGGAGUGGAGGAAGGGCAGAAUGGUGUAUUGGUGAAAAAGGAAGAUGUUGAGAAGGCGUUGAAUGAUUUGAUGAAAGAAGGAGAGGAAAGGGAAGAGAGAAGAAGAAGAGUUAAAGAGCUUGCAGAGAUGGCAAAGAAAGCAACUGAGGAAGGAGGUUCUUCUUGUCUCAACAUCAAACUUCUAAUCCAAGAUAUCAUGCAGCACGUAAAUGAAGAAGCAUCGCCUCCUCCAAUUAAAUAUCCAGAAAAUUCCUAAAGUCCCUAGAAAAAUGUGGUGCUCUCUUCAAGAAGCUUCAACAAGUUUCUUCAUCCGUGCAAUUCUCAUCACCGGCGUAUGCAGAAACUACUGUACCAACUGCUAGUGAGAAUGAAGGGAACACUCGAGUGUGUGAGUGGAUUGUGUUUGAGUGGUGACAAUGUGUGCACGUGAAAACAUUUGUAUACAAUCGGUUACCGUAACAGCCCGAAACCGAACUGCUACCGGCACUAGGAUUCAGAUCGAUUUAAGGUCGCCGGAACCGUAGUAAGCCUGCUAUCCUGUUUGUGUACCUGUGAAAUCUCAUACAUGAUCAUUCUUGUUCUGUCAAACUAUUAAAACUGUUCUGAUACAUGAUCAUUCUUAUUCUGUCAAAUUAUUAAAACUGUUAUGUCCUCCAAGACUUAACUUGUGCAUGCACUGUUUGAAAAAUCUAAACACUUUCGUUUUUUUCCAAUUUAUUCCAAUUUAAUGCAAAACUUUAAAUGGUAAUAAAAUUAUUCAAAAUUUUAAAUUUUGUUACAAUCAUAUUCAAACUUAAAAUUUAAAUUGAGAUAGUGUAUUUUGUUAUAUUAAUUCAUUUUUAUAUAAAGUUGUACUCUCAAUAGUUUUAAAAUUAUAUUAUAUAAUAAAUAUAAUUAAUAAAAUUUUAUAAAUUAUACUUUUAUUAAAUAAUGAUCAAUAUUUAGAUAUAUAUAGAAAGUGCAAGAUCAUUACUUAGAUUCUUAAUAUUUAGAAAAUACUUUUAUCUUUAAAUAAUGCAUACUCUGCUUCCACGUAACUUGAACUGAAGUUAGGCUGGCUGAAAAGAGGAUAAGCAUUCGAACAGAGUUGUUCUAGAUUUUGAGCUCACGGAUAGAGCAAGAAUGAUUGCAUCACUGCUGAGCUAUUUCAUUUUGGCUGCUUCUGCAGAAUGGACAUAUACAGAUUUAAAAUCUCUUCUACUGAAUGAUUGAAGGUCAUGGAGAUUUCAAUCAUAAAACACUUUGAUAAGACUCACCAUAACAUUUCUGGAAUGAAAUUGUCUGCAAAUUCCAUCCACAUAAUCUGUUUCUGCCUGUGACCACGUAGACCUCUCUGUGCAUCCACAUAAUAUUCUAUCACUAAAGUUGUGAACCACGCCAAACAAAAAUUGGCUCGUCUUGGGCUCCUAAAACAUCAGCAAGGCCUAGUUAUCCAGCAAUUUUAAAUACGAUUACGUUUGUAUCAUAAUGAUCAUUACCCAUUUCACAUGAUUUCAUAGAAUAGAUGGAGCUCUAUUAUAUAAUUUUUAUUCACUUUCUCCAUUAUAUAAUUAUUAUAUAAUUUUAAUUUUUAUUCACUUUACUUAUAUAUAUAUACUAAAAAAUUUAAUUUUUUAAUUAUAUUAUUUUAAAUAUAUUAAAUUUUAUUAAAUAUUAAAAAAUAUUUUUAAAAAAAUUCUUAAAAAUAAAAUAAAAUAAAAUAAUAAUUUAGAGACAAUAAUAAAAAAUAAAUAAAUAAAAAUUAUAGAAAGGCGGAAUAAUAAAUAAUUAAUCAAUAUGUAUCCUAUUAAUACAAUAUAAAUAGAAGAUGAGGAAACAAAAUAACCCAUCUCUCCCAGCUGGCUCUUCUUUUUUCUCUCUUCUUUUUAUCAUUCUUCCAUUGCCAUGCCUUCCCAAACCCAACAGCUUCACUUUGUGUUGUUUCCUCUUAUGGCCCAAGGCCAUAUGAUUCCCAUGAUAGACAUCGCAAGACUAUUAGCACAGCAUGGCGUGAUGAUCAGUAUAGUCACCACACCUCUCAAUGCUGCUAGAUUUAAAACAGUUCUUGCUCGUGCUGUAAAAUCUGGACUCAAAAUCCAGGUUUUUGAGCUCCAGUUUCCGUCCGAAAUUGCAGGCUUGCCAGAAGGGUGUGAGAAUUUUGACAUGCUGCCUUCACUGGAAAUGG